rnacentral:rRNA from 1 species
GUCUACGACCACAUCACGUUGAAAACACCGGUUCUCGUCCGAUCACCGAAGUCUAAGCAACGUCGAGGUCGCGUGUAGUACGUUGGAAUGGGUGGACCGCCUGGAAUUACCGGGUGUUUAGAUC